GUCUACGGCCAUGCCGCCCUGAACAUGCCCAAUCCCAUCUGAUCUCGGAAGCUAGGCAGGGUCGGGCCUGGUUAGUACUUGGAUGGGAGACCACCCAGGAAGACCGGGUGCUAUAGGCG
rnacentral:rRNA from 1 species